rnacentral:rRNA from 1 species
AUGCACGCUGGCGGCGUGCCUCAUACCUGCAAGUCGAGCGAACAGACGAGGAGCUUGCUCCUCUGACGUUAGCGGCGGACGGGUGAGUAACACGUGGAUAACCUACCUAUAAGACUGGGAUAACUUCGGGAAACCGGAGCUAAUACCGGAUAAUAUAUUGAACCGCAUGGUUCAAUAGUGAAAGACGGUUUUGCUGUCACUUAUAGAUGGAUCCGCGCCGCAUUAGCUAGUUGGUAAGGUAACGGCUUACCAAGGCAACGAUGCGUAGCCGACCUGAGAGGGUGAUCGGCCACACUGGAACUGAGACACGGUCCAGACUCCUACGGGAGGCAGCAGUAGGGAAUCUUCCGCAAUGGGCGAAAGCUUGACGGAGCAACGCCGCGUGAGUGAUGAAGGUCUUCGGAUCGUAAAACUCUGUUAUUAGGGAAGAACAAAUGUGUAAGUAACUAUGCACGUCUUGACGGUACCUAAUCAGAAAGCCACGGCUAACUACGUG